CAUAGUACAAAGCGGUAUUACGUGCACACAUUCGUCUCAUACAGUCAAUAAGGGUUCGAUUCCGGAGAGGGAGCCUGAGAAAUGGCUACCACAUCCAGGAAGGCAGCAGGCGCGCAAAUUACCCAAUCCCGACACGGGGAGGUAGUGACAAUAUGUAACAAUAUACGGCCUUAUACGUCGUAGAAUUGGAAUGAGUACAAUUUAAAUCCCUUAACGAGGAACAAUUGGAGGGCAAGUCUGGUGCCAGCAGCCCCGGUAAUUCCGCUCCAAUAGCGUAAAUUAAAGUUGUUGCAGUUAAAAAGCUCGUAGUUGGACCUUGGACCUGGACGGGCGGUCCGCCUCACGGCGAGUACUGUCUUGCUGGGUCUUUCCUCUUGGUGAUCUGUUGUUUCGGCAGCAGGGAACCAGGACCUUUACUUUGAAAAAAUUAGAGUGUUCAAAGCAGGCUCGACGCCGGAAUAUAUUAGCAUGGAAUAAUAAAAUAGGACGUGCGGUUCUAUUUUGUUGGUUUUUGGAAUCGCCGUAAUGAUUAAUAGGGACAGUCGGGGGCAUUAGGACUCACAUGCUAGAGGUGAAAUUCUUGGGAUUUUGUGAAGACUAACUUCUGCGAAAGCAUUUUGCCCAAGGAUGUUUUCAUUGAUCAGGGAACAAAGGGUGAGGGGUAUCGAAAACCAUGAGAUACCGUUUGUAUUCUUAAGAGUUAAACUAUGCCCGACCAGGGGAUCGGGUCGAUGGUUAUCUUUUUUGACCCGGUUGUAAUAAGCCAUAACGGGGAGACCCAAAGUGUUUGGGGGUACACAACAGG
rnacentral:rRNA from 2 species